UGGUGGAUUUGGUGGAGUACGCUACGGCGGAAGAUUUGGAUUCGGAGGAUUCGGUGGAGGUGCAUUCGGAUUCGGUGGAGGGACAGUACGGUAGAAUGGGUGGUGCUUACGGAGGGAGAUGUGGAAAAUAUCCUUGUCCAAAGAAAUAUAGAGGGAUUCGGUGGAGGUAUCGGUAGAGGUGCAUUCGGAAUCGGUGGAGGUCAUUUCGGUGGAGGGCAGUACGGUAGAAUUGGCGGUGCUUUCGGAGGGAGAUGUGGAAAAUACCCUUGUCCCAAGAAAUUUGGUUAAGGCACAAAAUCAAAACACCAUUUUCUGACAACAGCCUGUCGGCAGCAACUUUCGUUUUUAUCUGUAAAUCCAUACAGCUUAUUAAAAAAAUUUAAAGCAUCAGCACAAUAUGCUUAUGUGAAUAUUCAUUUGUACACAGUAACUCAUAAAAUAACUACGGUGGCGUAAAGGUGAUAUGUGAAAUUUGUAUAUAUUUUGGCAAAAUAAAUCGCGAAACCAAA
rnacentral:lncRNA from 1 species